CAAGAGUUGAAGUUGCCAGUAACUCAUCCACCGUUUCCGAUCCACACAACUCCUUAACUUCCUUGCACCUCAUCAAAUUGCAUUGAGGAAAUUCAAUAAACCCACAAGCAAGAUUGGACAUAUGGAGUCCUCCAAGAGUUGAAGUUGCCAGUAACUCAUCCACCGUUUCCGAUCCACACAACUCCUUAACUUCCUUGCACCUCAUCAAAUUGCAUUGAGGAAAUUCAAUAAACCCACAAGCAAGAUUGGACAUAUGGAGUCCUCCAAGAGGCAUUCCAAAAGCGUAUUGCGACACUCCUAAUAAAGAAGAGUCAUACAAAACUUGUCAUCUAAUAAAAGAACUUGAAGUAACAAUUUUCCAAGUUGAAGUAACAACUAACAAGUUGCCAAAAUCCUUGUUAUCUUUUAAACUAAUUUUCCCAUUUUAAAUGAAGUCAAGCACGAUCUUGAAUCAUAGUUACCUAGAAUGCAGGACAUCUUAGAUCGUGGCAUGGCUAUGAGUAAUUUGGGUACACGAUACACCACUGAGCUAAGUAUUAGGUAGGGCUGUGCAUGGUUCUCAGGGGUCUCGAACCGAACCGAAAAACUGUACCGAAUCGAAGUUAUUUUGAUAAUUUAGUUCGAUUCUAAUUCUUCACUAGGAAUUGAACUGGAACCGUAUCGAAAACGAAC
rnacentral:misc_RNA from 1 species